rnacentral:rRNA from 1 species
GAUUAACGCUGGCGGCGUGCAUAACACAUUCAAGUCGAACGGUGUAGCAAUACACAGUGGCGGACGGGUGAGUAACGCGUGAGCAAUCUACCUUCCAAUGCGGAAUAACAACCGGAAACAGUUGCUAAUACCGCAUGAAACGGCAGCACCGCAUGGUGCAACCGUCAAAGGCUUGCUGCUGGAAGAUGAGCUUGCGUCUGAUUAGAUAGUUGGUGAGGUAGCGGCUCACCAAGUCAACGAUCAGUAGCCGGACUGAGAGGUUGAACGGCCACAUUGGAACUGAGAUACGGUCCAGACUCCUACGGGAGGCAGCAGUGGGGAAUAUUGGGCAAUGGGCGAAAGCCUGACCCAGCGACGCCGCGUGAGGGAAGAAGAUCUUCGGAUUGUAAACCUUAGUCAACAGGGAAGAAGAAAGUGACGGUACCUGUGGAGGAAGCCACGGCUAACUACGUGCCAGCAGCCGCCGUAAAAC